CCAAAAUUUCUCCUCCACACUCAGAACUCCACCAUAGAAACCUAAUUAAGCCCUUAUAUCAGAAAACCUCACUAAGAUUAACCUUUUACAUCUCUCAAUUGUACAACAGUUGGGUUUAAUUUUCAAAAUCAUCAUGUAAAGGUAAAUCUCAACAGCUCUAGUUGCAGUUCUUCAUCAGGUGGAUUUGAACAGCUUAAGUUGCAGUUCAGAUUUUCAUCAUGUACAGGGUCUGGAACUGAUUUACUCAGAAAUAUUCAGGGAGUUCUUUCUUCAUUUUAGUGAUUUUCUCUUAAGGGUCUUCUUCAAUUUUCAGAAAUGGAGAUGGAAUAAUAGUUCCUGCUGCAGAUGAAGAGGUAUAAGCUGCUCCAGAGGCUACUAAGAAAGUAAUUUGAAAUUGUAAUGAAUUCCUAUUCUCUGUUAAAUCAGCGGGUAUUUGAAAUUGCAAUUCUCUUUGUGAAGGAAUCUGAUGUUAAUAUUUGUUUUUACUUAUACGUGCUAUGUUCCUGGUGCAUAUCCAUCAGCAGCUUAUUAUAAUUCAGGUAAACUUUGUUUCUUCUAUUGCUAUUGUAAGGAUAAGAAAAUAAAAAGACAUCAGUUUGUGUCAGUAAAAAUAAGGAGGGAAACUCGUUGAGCUGGUGAAGUAAAUGCCUACUUUUUUUUUUCCAGUUUAAUGUUCAUGUUUGAAAGGUAAAAAAUUAGCUUUUGAUGUCCGAACAUCAAUUAUUUGUUUCUAGACUGAUUAAUCUGAGUAAGUUUAGACUUGAAAGUGAGUCAUCAAGUGGUUCCAUGGAGAACUUGGUCAAGGCUUAUCUUGGUUUCGAUGGUGUGAAAUGAGAUGUUCUUACUGGUAGGAGUAAUUGGAACCUAGGAAUCUAAGUAUCGAUCAAUUUCAGUAUGCUACUAUAGAUGCUCAUGUUUCAUUUGAAAUUUUGUAAGAAAAUUCAAGCAUGGAAGAUUAAAAACAGAGAUUCUUGUUAAUUUUAGUGAAAAUGAGGUUGGACUACGUUCACUGGUUCUUAUUUGGUUAAUAUUGGUGGUGGUGAAUAUCGUGCUCAAUGGAAGAAGAGUAUAGUUUCUUAUUUUCUUGGUGGUUUCUAUUUGUCUUCUAGGACAGUAGGACUAAUUGGUAAGUAGAUGAUUUCAUUACUUAGUGCUAUUGAUAAUUCAGGAUGUUUUCUCACAGAAUAGAGGUUCUACUUCCCUAUUUCUUUAGCAUUGAUGUAAUGUUAAUAUGUUCUUCUUUCAGGAAUUCAUAUCCUUAUUAAUUGUAUUAAAGGAGUUCUUAUCAAUUUAUUAUUUUGUGUUGCCAGAUAUAUCUUCUACCAAAAUAGUUUUUGAGCAAUUGAUACCCUAGGAGGCUUUUAUCUGAUGUGGACUAUGUUAUGUUUGUGUCUCUUUUUCUUUUUUCUCUCCAUUCAUUUCCUUAAUGUACAUUUAACAAAGCUAUUAGAUAUUUAGCACACGGAAAAUGCAGAACGCCAUAACCCCACUCUUUCUAUCUUCUUUAUCCACUUAUUACUUUUCCUGUUACCAGGGGGGAAGUAUGCCCAGACUAGGUCUGGCUGAAGCCACCCAGCCAAAUCUUUUUUGUUUACUUAGGUAAUAAAUUCAAGCCAAUUUUCCUCGAUCCUGGAAAAAACUAUUGCCAAGCCAGGGUAAGAUUUUAGUUGAAAUCCUAUUGCCAAGCCAGGGUAAGAUUUUAGUUUAAUAGUUGAUGUUAAUUGUGAUCAUGUAAAUCUGUGAUUAUCGAAUUACGAGUGUUAUUUGAUGGGAAUUGAAUUUUAUAUUAUUAUGAUUUUGGUCUUGAUUGAUGAUCGUUUAAGAACAGGACCUCCUUCACCUGAAGUUCAAUUGAAUAUUGCUACUACCAGGUGCCCUUGAAUGGUAUGUAUCAUCUGGAAUGAAGGUUGGUAUUAUGCCUUGUUUGCCACGCUUAUGAGCUAUAUUUGUAGGGUAUUCAAGCUUUUGUUUCUUGCUAUUUUUCUUCAAGGAGUUGAUAUCCCACAUUAAUUUAAUCUGAAUAUGUCAUUUAGUAUUUUGAGUCCACUAUCAACCUUGCGCAUAUAAUUUUGUCAAUGUUUAGUUUGGUAAUCUUGUUAACCGCUAGAUUAUCAGUUCUUAACAUCCAAGAUGGGACUGAUGGUCAGUCAUUUCUUAUAUCUGUUUCAUCCGCAAAAGACUUGCAAGAAGCAAUUAAUAUAGCGAUUAACAGCGAUCAGUACAUGAACCACAAUGGUAGAAACAAUGCAUAGGUAAUUGAGUAUUAUUAUUACGUAUGGGCAUUUAUGUAAAUGUUUCUCUUUAGAUGUGCAUUCGGUUUAUUGAAACUAAUGUUAAACUCAUUAUGCCUAUUAAACUAAUGCAGUCUAUUUUUCCUUCAGUAGGUCUUUCGGGAAAUGAAAGACCAAAAUUUUGAAACAGCCGUACCAAAUUUUUGUAGUUACAGGACAUAUACACGACAUUAUCUUGAACAAAAUCAUUUCUAUGCUGCUGAUUACUCUACACACGGAAGGGAGUUGCGGAUUAACAGCAAAUGCAAUCUGAUCGUGUGUUAGUCUUUUGGAUUUGGUAUUAACUUCCCUAUAUCAUUUUUAUACUGCUAGUUGCCCUACACACAGAAGGGAGUUGCGGAUAAACAGAAAAUGCAAUAUCACUGUAUAUAAAUCAAUUUAUGUAUUGCCUGCCUUAUGGUAUGGCGGACCAUUUGUUGAGUUUGUUUUUUAUUUCUUUUGUGGUUUUAUGUUGUCUGCAACGUUGACAUACAUAGCAUAGUAAUUGUUUUUUUAAUGUACUUGCUACACAUUUGGCCUUUCCACUUGUUAGGACUUGUAUGUUUGGGCUGGGAGUCUAAGUUUUAUUUCCUUAAGUUUCUCUUUUUGUUUCAAUGAGUAUCAGCAUAGCGCUACAUUUUCAUUAUCUUCGUCUCCAUUCUCCAGUUCUGUUGUUUUUUCUCUCAUGAAAGUCAUCUUCAAUGAUAAAUAAUUUGAAUUCAUUUCUUUUCCAGGAUGUUUUCUCUGUUUCCCCCUUUGUUUUUUUUCCAACAAAUUGUACAUAUUCAUCAUCUCUUGUUGUUGUUCCUGUUUUAGCAUAGAGCUCCUACUGUGGGAUCUGCUCCACUAAGAAUCUGACUUAUAUGAUAUGUAAUGGUAUAAGUCUAUACCUAUAGUAUAUUAAUUUGGGUGAUAGAUUCUCUCUUCUGUUUGUUUACGGAUCACUGCCAGCACAUGGAGGCAUAUUUACCUGGAUGCUGAUGCCAAUUUCGUACCAGGACCAGUGGCAUCUCGAUGUUGCGGAUUGCUGGGAUAUUCAUUGUUUCCAUCUCCGUUCUCCAGUUCUGUUGGUUUUUCCUCAUGGAAAUAAUUUGAAUUCAUUUCUUUUCCAGGCUUGUUUAUCUAUUUCCCCUUUGUUUUUUUUUCCCGACAAAUUGUACGCGUUCUGAUCGUCUCUUGUUGUUAUUUCUGUUUCAGCAUAUAGCUCCUACACUGGGAUCCGCUCCACGAAGAAUCUGGUAUAACUUCUGAAGGUAAUGAUGAAUGAAUGAUUGGAAUGCAGCUGUAGAGUCUUCCACAUUGUCAAAGGAUGAGGCUGAGGUUAAGGGAGCUUCAAAUCCUAACAUGAGGUGACUAUCAAGAAUUCCUUGUAACUGCUCGGACCAAGCUUUGUUUAUUCCUUCCAAGCUUCGCAGGUGUUCGAUGUAGUCUAAUUCAUUUUAUACAAGCAUGUCGUUAAUUAGUUCUCGUGUUAAAGGUUUAGAUUGCUGAUGGUUUAAAUGCUCAUGACAUUCACUAAUGAUGUGGUUGUGUAUAUAUACAUACCGCUUUACAUCUUCAACACAUGAUCCGAUAGACCACUUUGAAUCCUAAAUGGUAUAUGAGGUAUGUCCUGUAGUACCAUCGUGGUGUCCACAUAUGCUUGGCAGUAACAAAUAUCAUAUGUUGUAUGCUUGGUAGUUCUUAUGCCAUAGUUGGCUACACGAGGCUCUUAGAGUUGCUUUCAUUGUUGUUGAUGAAACUCUUAAGGAGGUUCGAGUUCAUAUAGACUACUCAAAGCUUGUUAACGCUGACGACAAUGGGAAAGACAAGGUGAUUGCUCCUUAUAGACCGGAGUACCAAGUUGCAGAGGAGAUAAAAUGGUACAACAUCAAUACCAACUGCAAAAUCUUUGACUCAUUUCAAAAAGCGAAGCUAAGUAUCACUGUCCCCUACUGAUUUUGUAUUCAAUCUGAAUUAGGCAUCGAGUUGAGCAUUACUGAGAUCGACUUGUUUGCAGGUGCUGAUGGAAAGAAAGGAGGUGUUCGGCGUCAAGUAAUGUCAUUAGGAAUGUCAUAGACUUCUUAUUAUUACCCUGGAAAGCUAGUCCAGGAUCGGAAGGCUGAAAACCUGAUUUUCUUUUCAUGUGCAAGUCAUACAUAUUUCUGGAUAGCUUUCACUCCCCUUGUUGUUGAUAAACUAAGGAAGGAUAAGACUCACAAAAUGGAUGUAAAUGUAGUACACUGCAGUUCUCAGGUUUUCAAAAGGUUGUUGCUGCCUAUGAAUGCAAAAUUGUUCAAGGUGUGCUCUGAUAGAUGUAAUUCUCAGGAAACAAGGUUAUACUUAGUGUUCCUGAAACCAGAGUUGAUGAUGCAGAAUUCCAGGAGAAUGAUUUUUAUGCAAUUGCUAUGGAGUAAAUCAUUUUGCUGGUUAACUGUACUUGUCUUCCAACUUUAUUGUCAGUUAGGACUUAAACUUAUAUUGGUAUGAACUCGGAAUUUAAACCUUUUUUUGUGUAAUUUAAACCUAAUGAAUCAAUGAAUAUUAAAUGGAAAAAUUAUUUGAGUUUACCA